AGAUUUCCUCUUUUACCAGCCUACUAGUAUCCUUGGGGAUCCAUAGGGGGUCCCCUCUACACGUGAAUCAUUAACAUUUACAACCUGAUUCCAGGGCUGUCCCCAUACCCCGUCCAGUAUGGGCGCCAAAAUCAUGAACCUCAAUACCCCGUCUUGUAUGAGGGUGAAACAGGCCGUCCCCAUACCCCGUCCGGUAUAGGCGCCAAAAUAAAUAAAGUCUCCAUACCCCGUCCGGUAUAAGAGACCACUUUCCCGGUAAGGUUCCCUACGGACCCGGUCCGUCCACCAUCUCCCAGGAUAUCUAGUCAGGCUGUCCACAUUAUCCAUUUAUCAAUUCACAUAACCUUUUUGCCUUUUUCCUUGAUCUCAAUCAUCCAAUCACACACAACAUGUAACCCAGUCAUCGACACCAAAUAAGACAACACAGUAUCGGGUU
rnacentral:lncRNA from 1 species